rnacentral:rRNA from 1 species
GUCUUAUUGAUUAUUUAUAUUAAGUCUAGCCUGCUCAGUGAGAAAUAUCUUAAAUAGCCGCAGUAUUUUGACUGUGCGAAGGUAGCAUAAUCAUUUGUCUCUUAAUUGGAGGCUUGUAUGAAUGGCUGGAUGAGGGAUUAACUUUCUUUAUAUUAAAAUUUGAAUUUAACUUUUAGGUCAAAAGGCUUAAAUUUAUUAGUGGGACGAGAAGACCCUAUAGAAUUUUAUUAUAAUAUUUAUUUUUAUUUAUUGGAUUUAUACAUAGUAUUAUAUAGAUGUUAUAAUUUUGUUGGGGUGACAGGGGGAUUUAUUUAACUCCCUUUAAUUAUUUAUUACUGAUAAGUAUUAUUUAUAAAGAUCCUUUAUUAAGGAUAUUAAGAUUAAAUUACCUUAGGGAUAACAGCGUAAUUUCUUUGGAGAGUUCUUAUCGAUGAAGGAGUUUGCGACCUCGAUGUUGGAUUAAAAUAAGUAUUAAGUGCAGAAGCUUAAUUUCUAGGUCUGUUCGACCUUUAAUUUUUUACAUGAUCUGAGUU